UCAAUAAAAUGUUCAACAUGCUAUACUUUGCGACUGGAGCAAGAAAGUCAAAGAGAGAUCACGUUGUGAUGUCACAGAAGUCACCCCUAGUAACUGCUGCAACAUUCUGUUUGUGCUCAGUCACAUCUCAGUCUCUGACAGAUCUUCACACCUACACCCUUGGAGCUGAUACUCAUCUUCACAGCACAGAAAUCCUUGGAUAUGGAUUAAUAAUAUGUUCAACAUGCUAUACUUUGCGACUGGAGCAAGAAUAAAGUCAAAGAGAGAUCACGUUGUGAUGUCACAGAAGUCACCCCUAGUAACUGCUGCAACAUUCUGUUU